GUCCUAGCCGUAAACGGUGGGCACUAGGUGUUGGAGGCAUCGACCCCUCCAGUGCCGCAGCUAACGCAUUAAGUGCCCCGCCUGGGGAGUACGGCCGCAAGGUUGAAACUCAAAGGAAUUGACGGGGGCCCCGCACAAGCGGUGGAGCAUGUGGUUUAAUUCGACGCAACGCGAAGAACCUUACCCAGACUUGACAUGCACGGGACCGGUGUUGAAAUACACCUUCCCUUCGGGGCUCGUGCACAGAUGCUGCAUGGCUGUCGU
rnacentral:rRNA from 1 species